UUUCCGUAGGUGAACCUGCGGAAGGAUCAUUAUCGUACAAAAUGUGAGGGGCAUGCGAGGGCUGUCGCUAACCACCAAGUCGUGCACGCACGAGUGUGUCCUCUUGCAUAAGAAUCCAUCUCACCCUUUGUGCAUCACCGCGUGGGCACCCUUCGGGAUCAUCUCGGAGGGGUGCUCGCGUUUUCACACCAACUCCCCUUUUAAAAGUGUAGAAUGACCACAUUUAUGCAAUCAAUACAACUUUCAACAACGGAUCUCUUGGCUCUG
rnacentral:misc_RNA from 1 species